rnacentral:lncRNA from 1 species
CGCUUGGCGCCAGGAGAUAUGUGAAAGAAUUUUGACAAAGUUGAUCUUCUUUUCAAAGCCUGACUGCCUGAAAUAAGUUAAGAAUGUUUGUAUUAUGUCGAGGAUAUGUGGGCUUACAACCCUGCCACUCUGAUCCUUUCUGCGCUGAUAGUGGGACACCGUUCAAAAUGCCAGAACCUACCAAAAAAGAUGAAACAUCUAGUGCCCCCCCUGAAGAGAGUGUUGGUCCAGACAGUAGUGAAGCUCCACCCCUUCCUGAGAUCUCGCUUGAGAUUUCUCCACCAGAUAAAGAUGAUGAUGCUGCUGCCAGCACCCCUUCACCACAACCUCCAGCAGAGGAUGCCAGUUCACUCAAGAAACUGUCUAUUGAGCUACCUAGUAAGGACGGCUA